rnacentral:rRNA from 1 species
GACGAACGCUGGCGGCGUGCUUAACACAUGCAAGUCGAACGGAAAGGCCCUGAUUUUGUGGGGUGCUCGAGUGUCGAUCGCGUGUGUAUCACGUGAGUAUCCUGCCCUUUACUUUUGGGUAACAUCAUGGAACUGGGGCUAAUAUCCCAUAGAAGAUCCCGCUGCAUGGUGGGGGGUGGAAAGUUUCGGCGGUGCGGGAUGAACUCGCGGCUUAUCAGCUUGUUGGUGGGGUAGUGGCUUACCAAGGCUUUGACGGGUAGCCGGCCUGAGAGGGUGAACGGCCACAUUGGGACUGAGAUACGGACCAGACUCCUACGGGAGGCAGCAGUGGGGAAUAUUGCACAAUGGGCGGAAGCCUGAUGCAGCGACGCCGCGUGGGGGAUGACGGCCUUCGGGUUGUAAACCGCUUUCGCCUGUGACGAAGCGUGUGUGACGGUACCGGGAAAAGAAGCACCGGCUAACUACGUG